UAAUACCCUAUAGAUUACAGAUGCUGGAAUGCCCUGUAAUCAAAAGUUCCGACGCCUUAGGAUGGAUCUGCGGCCGAUUAGGUUGUUGUUGGGGUAAUGGCCCAACAAGCCAGUAAUCGGUACGGGUUGUGAGAGCAAGAGCCCGGAGUUGGAUUCUGAGACACGAAUCCAGGCCCUACGGGGCGCAGCAGGCGCGAAAACUUUACAAUGCGGGCAACCGUGACAAGGGAACCUCGAGUGCCUGUAUACGCAGGCUGUCCAGGUGCCUAAAACACACCUGAAGAAAGGGCCGGGCAAGACCGGUGCCAGCCGCCGCGGUAAUACCGGCGGCUCGAGUGGUGGCCGCUUUUAUUGGGCUUAAAGCGUUCGUAGCUGGUUUGUUAAGUCUCUUGGGAAAUCUGGCGGCUUAACCGUCAGGCGUCUAAGGGAUACUGGCAAUCUUGGAACCGGGAGAGGUGAGGGGUACUUCGGGGGUAGGAGUGAAAUCCUGUAAUCCUCGAGGGACCACCUGUGGCGAAGGCGCCUCACCAGAACGGCUUCGACAGUGAGGGACGAAAGCUGGGGGAGCAAACCGGAUUAGAUACCCGGGUAGUCCCAGCCGUAAACGAUGUGCGUUAGGUGUAU
rnacentral:rRNA from 1 species